AGUGUCAGGGAAGAAAACAAAACUGCCAGCACACCUUGGGACAAAUGACUAAAUGCCCUCCAGACAUUUCAGAGUCCUCUGCCUUUCAUACUUCAGUUCUUCCUGAAGGAAUCUGGGGCUGGAAAGCAGGAAGCAAUUUACUGUGGAAUUUUUUUCCAUCACAGACUCCAAAUUCUUCAGCCUUUGGACUCUUGAAAUUCCACCAGUGUUUUGCCAGGGGCUCUCAGGCCUUUGGCCACAGACUGAAGGCUGCACUGUCACCUUCCCUAAUUUUGAGGUUUUGAGACUUGGACUGAUCCACCAGUGACUUCCUUGCUUUUCAACUUGAAGAUGGUCUAUCGUGGGAAUUUACCUUGUGAUUAUCCUUGCCUGUAUUCUCCAUCUCCUCAACCCCAGGAACCAACAAGCUAUCAAGGACAGAAUUUGCACCAGAGGACAAAGAAAGGCUAUAAGCAUGUUGAAGGCAGACAUUAUACUUUGUUCAGUCUUCUAUCUCAAGUACCUACUGCAAGACCAAGCAAACCGCAAUCUGAGCAUCUGAUGACAGAACUGAAAGAGGUGAAAGAAAGCUCCAUGGACACUCUGGACAUAUUCUACGUUAUUUGGAUCCAGACUGAUCUGAAUUUAUCAAAAGAGAUGAACAUGAUAUAAAGCACGAGGGAAAUGAAGCAUGUUCAUUUUGGAUUGAGGAAAAGUUUGUCAUUAUAAUGUAUCUUCAGAUUUGGUUGCCAUGCAGGGGAAUUUGCUGUUCUUUUGAUCUUUUUCUCUGUUUAAAAAGACAUAUUGACUAGGAGAAGAAUGGAGUAGGUGAAGCACCCUUAAUAUUAUUAGUGUGCUUGUGAACAUCUGAUAUGCUAAUAGGCAAAGUGGGUGGAAUGGAAUUGCUCUUAAAUAAGUAAAAAACUUAACAUUAAAUUAUCUUUUAAAAUGGGCCUAAUUUGGAGGGUUUCAUUUAACAUAUUGCAGGUAAAAUCUAAUUUUGUUUUUCUAAACUUUCCUUUGCUAAUGCAAGGCAGGAGAGUUUGGUGUGUGUUUAAAUAGAUCAAAGUCUCUUGGGGAGAGUCAGAGGUCUGGGAUUCUCAUAUUUUGGAGACAGUGAUUUGAUUUUCCUAGGAUCUUUUUUUUUUUUAAGUAGAAAAUGUGGUAACAGUGUCAUCCAGUCACAGCCACGGAGACAACCCACUGGGGAUUAAUAGAAUUUUGCAAAUGCUCCUCUGUCCCAGCAGAUAAAACUCCCUUCUCAUCCAAAGUAUCCGCCCAAAGAGAAAACUACCCUAGGACUUUUGCUUUUUCCAGAAAUUACUUCGGACAGCUCCCCCUUUUGAGACUCUCUCUCUUUCCCCUGCUGUUUAAUUUCCUCUGGUUGUAGUAAUGCAGGGGAAACCCUUUGUGUAGUGCAGGGGCUAACAGCAUGCUCUCUGAAACCACACAGCUUCCCAGCCAGUCUAGACACGGCUGUUGAUGAACUGUACCAUCUUGACUAUUUCAUUAACCCCCUUUGAGGUUUCCCUCACAAGAAAUUGGGGAUAGCAAUAGUUCUGACUAUCUAGUGUUGUCCCGAAGAUUAAAUGAAACUGUGCAGGUAAAGUGGUAACCUCCAAAUGGGUGCUAGCAGUUGCUAUUGUUGCUAUUAUUAUUAUUACGUUAACUUUUAAUCUGUAGGAGCUUGAGCCAAGCCCAGGUCCGCUUGCAUGUGCCAGCUUCAGUACCUGCGCCAGCAGCCCCCACCGGGCACUGUGGCAGUGGUGGUGACGGAGGAGGAGGUGGCGGUAAAGAGGGAAAGAAAUGGAUUAGGCGGAGGAGGAUGAGGUAGGAAGAAGGCACGAUGGGAGGGUAAUAUGGUUAGGCUCUGUGUCCUCACCCAAAUCUCAUCCUGAAUUGUAAUCCCCAGGUGUUUAGGGAGAGACCUGGUGGGAAGUGAUUGGAUUAUGGGGGCAGUUUCCUACAUGCUGUUCUCAUGGCAGUGAAUUCUCACUAGAUAUCAUGACUUUAUAAGGGGCUCUUCCCCCUUCAUUUCUCAUCCUCUCUCUCCUGCCACCAUGUGAGAGAAGAUCUUAGCUUGCUUCUCCUUUGCCUUUGGCAUGAUUAUAAGUUUCUUGAGGCCUCCCCAGCCAUGUGGAACUGUGGGUCAAUUAACCCUCUUUCCUUUAUAAAUU